AUUGAACGCUGGCGGCAGGCCUAACACAUGCAAGUCGAACGGUAACAGGAAGAAGCUUGCUUCUUUGCUGACGAGUGGCGGACGGGUGAGUAAUGUCUGGGAAACUGCCUGAUGGAGGGGGAUAACUACUGGAAACGGUAGCUAAUACCGCAUAACGUCGCAAGACCAAAGAGGGGGACCUUCGGGCCUCUUGCCAUCGGAUGUGCCCAGAUGGGAUUAGCUAGUAGGUGUGGUAACGGCUCACCUAGGCGACGAUCCCUAGCUGGUCUGAGAGGAUGACCAGCCACACGGGAACUGAGACACGGUCCAGACUCCUACGGGAGGCAGCAGUGGGGAAUAUUGCACAAUGGGCGCAAGCCUGAUGCAGCCAUGCCGCGUGUAUGAAGAAGGCCUUCGGGUUGUAAAGUACUUUCAGAGGGGAGGAAGGGAGUAAAGUUAAUACCCGUGCUCAUUGACGUUACCCGCAGAAGAAGCACCGGCUAACUCCGUG
rnacentral:rRNA from 1 species